UACGGGAGGCAGCAGUGGGGAAUAUUGCACAAUGGGCGCAAGCCUGAUGCAGCCAUGCCGCGUGUAUGAAGAAGGCCUUCGGGUUGUAAAGUACUUUCAGCGGGGAGGAAGGCGGUGAAGUUAAUAGCUUCACCGAUUGACGUUACCCGCAGAAGAAGCACCGGCUAACUCCGUGCCAGCAGUCGCGGUAAUACGGAGGGUGCAAGCGUUAAUCGGAAUUACUGGGCGUAAAGCGCACGCAGGCGGUCUGUCAAGUCGGAUGUGAAAUCCCCGGGCUUAACCUGGGAACUGCAUUCGAAACUGGCAGGCUAGAGUCUUGUAGAGGGGGUAGAAUUCCAGGUGUAGCGGUGAAAUGCGUAGAGAUCUGGAGGAAUACCGGUGGCGAAGGCGGCCCCUGGGACAAAGACUGACGCUCAGGUGCGAAAGCGUGGGGAGCAAACAGGAUUAGGAUACC
rnacentral:rRNA from 1 species